rnacentral:rRNA from 1 species
CCAAUAGCGUAUAUUAAAGUUGUUGCAGUUAAAAAGCUCGUAGUUGAAUUUCGGGGUUAGUAGAUUGGUCAUGCCUCUGGUAUGCACUGGUCUCACUGAUUCCUCCUUCCUGAUGAGCCGUAAUGCCAUUAAUUUGGUGUUGCGGGGAAUUUGGACUGUUACUUUGAAAAAAUUAGAGUGUUUAAAGCAAGCUAACGCUUGAAUACAUUAGCAUGGAAUAAUGAAAUAGGACGUUCGAUCCUAUUUUGUUGGUUUCUAGGAUUGACGUAAUGAUUAAUAGGGAUAGUUGGGGGCAUUAGUAUUCAAUUGUCAGAGGUGAAAUUCUUGGAUUUAUUGAAGACUAACUACUGCGAAAGCAUUUGCCAAGGAUGUUUUCAUUAAUCGAGAACGAAAGUUAGGGGAUCGAAGACGAUCAGAUACCGUCGUAGUCUUAACCAUAAACUAUGCCGACUAGGGAUCGGAUGAUGUUAAUUUUUUAAUGACUCAUUCGGCGCCUUACG